UGAAUAUUGCAUCGUAUUUGACUGUGAACCACUCUCCUCUGCCAUCACAGCCAGGGAAGCAGCACUGGCUUUUCGGUGGGACUUGCCUGGUGAAGGGGGCCUGUGUCUGUCAGCGUGCUGAGGCCGAGUACUGAGUACCUGGUACUGAGACCRCUGGACGCCCUGUCGGCUCCAGCUGCCCACUGCCGAGCAUAACGGUGCGCCUCGAUGGACUUGAGCUCUGGGCAAACGGUGGCUUGAUGACACAGUCCACAGGACGCUACAUUAAUGGGGUAGCCUGGAAAAGGAUGCCAAAUUUUGGUGGAAAUGCCCUCUGUACCUCAAAAUGAAAGAAGGUAGYAUCCUGUAUCACGAAAGUCAAGAAUGUGGCUCUUUGGGCAGUGAUUCCUUUGGGAGCUGGUGUAAAAGCAGGUUUUUUAUUCAGAAAUGUUGCACARUGCUGUGGAGCCCAUGCUGAGCAAGCCGGACACCGAUGGGGAACAGCUGCCUUAGUGAGCACAUGCUGCGUAGCUCACCCCCAGCACCCRAAACACGAUGGGUUGGACAUUACUGCAGCUGCAUGGGCUCUCCUUCCAGUGCCAAAGAACUGCAUUCUGCUCCAAAUACUUCUGGA
rnacentral:lncRNA from 1 species